rnacentral:rRNA from 1 species
AAGAGCUUGCUCUUAUGAAGUUAGCGGCGGACGGGUGAGUAACACGUGGGUAACCUACCCAUAAGACUGGGAUAACUCCGGGAAACCGGGGCUAAUACCGGAUAAUAUUUUGAACUGCAUAGUUCGAAAUUGAAAGGCGGCUUCGGCUGUCACUUAUGGAUGGACCCGCGUCGCAUUAGCUAGUUGGUGAGGUAACGGCUCACCAAGGCGACGAUGCGUAGCCGACCUGAGAGGGUGAUCGGCCACACUGGGACUGAGACACGGCCCAGACUCCUACGGGAGGCAGCAGUAGGGAAUCUUCCGCAAUGGACGAAAGUCUGACGGAGCAACGCCGCGUGAGUGAUGAAGGCUUUCGGGUCGUAAAACUCUGUUGUUAGGGAAGAACAAGUGCUAGUUGAAUAAGCUGGCACCUUGACGGUACCUAACCAGAAAGCCACGGCUAACUACGUGCCAGCAGCCGCGGUAAUACGUAGGUGGCAAGCGUUAUCCGGAAUUAUUGGGCGUAAAGCGCGCGCAGGUGGUUUCUUAAGUCUGAUGUGAAAGCCCACGGCUCAACCGUGGAGGGUCAUUGGAAACUGGGAGACUUGAGUGCAGAAGAGGAAAGUGGAAUUCCAUGUGUAGCGGUGAAAUGCGUAGAGAUAUGGAGGAACACCAGUGGCGAAGGCGACUUUCUGGUCUGUAACUGACACUGAGGCGCGAANGCGUGGGGAGCAAAC